rnacentral:lncRNA from 1 species
GGGAACGAUGCGUUAGCAGUUCGUAGUUUGAAAUUAAUUCGACGGUGGCUGCUAGUUGAGUCUAUAAAAAUAUCCCGCUAAACCCAGGGGGGCGCUCAAUCAACAUCUUAAGUAUGGAGUGUUAGUAUACCGUGUGACCUAUAGAGAUUUGUCGCACCGCAAGAUCUCGCAACGCUGAAGGGGUUUUCGGACAACAAUCUUAUGCUGUUCGUGGCACACUUGAACUCGACGGGACCAAUGCACAGUUACGUUCCCGCUAUCACUCGAGUGCUGCUUUCGCACGAGAUUACAGGCCCUCCCGUACAGCCCGUCCUUCCCUGUUCGUUAGUAAUAGGUGGUACUAAAUAUUAUGCUAAAAAAAAAUCCUCGACUAGCCUGCAUCCUCUAUUUGCUCAGUGACGCUCGACAGUGACCUAAGGAGCUUAGUAACGGCUGCGGGUUAAACGCCUUUACAGAGCGGAAGGUUUUAUCAAAUCAGUGAAAUGCAUGGAAUCGUGUACUGUCUUCAGCUUGAAUUACAAUCGAUCGGUGUCGCAGCAAAAGAUCAGUCAAUAGAAAUCCAACGGAAGGAAUCACCGAGAGGACCCGGCAACGCACGCAGAGGCGAUCCAUGUCGGAGUGGUAGCACUAUCUGAGCAAGCAGACGAGGCGUCAUCAAUCCUUGUCAUUGCCCCAUGUGAGGAGGCGCUGUACAGAGGCCCCCCCCCCCUCCC